CUUACUAACCGAUAGUGAACAGUACCGUGAGGGAAAGGUGAAAAGAACCCCUGGAGGGGAGUGAAAUAGAACCUGAAACUGUGUGCUUACAAGCGGUCAGAGCAGAGCGAUUCGUCGCGUGUGAUGGCGUGCCUUUUGGAGAAUGAUCCUGCGAGUUACGAUCAAUGGCGAGGUUAAGUAUAACGGAGCCGAAGGGAAACCGAGUCUGAAUAGGGCGAAUUAGUCGUUGGUUGUAGACGCGAAACCUGGUGAUCUAUGCCUGUCCAAGAUGAAGCAGUGGUAAGACACUGUGGAGGUCUGAACCCACCGUCGUUGAAAAGCCGGGGGAUGAGGUAGGUAUAGGGGUGAAAAGCCAAUCGAACCAGGAGAUAGCUCGUUCUCUCCGAAAUGCAUUUAGGUGCAGCCUUGAUUGUUUAAAUAUGGGGGUAGAGCACUGAAUGGUCUAGCGGGCAUAUUGCUUAGCGAAAUCAAUCAAACUCCGAAUACCAUAUUUCAUGAGAUCAGGAGUGAGACUAUGGGUACUAAGAUCCAUGGUCAAAAGGGAAACAGCCCAGACCACCAACUAAGGUCCCAAAUUAUAUCUAAGUGGGAAAGGAGGUGGAGAUUCUGAAACAACCAGGAUGUUGGCUUAGAAGCAGCCAUACAUUUAAAGAGUGCGUAAUAGCUCACUGGUCGAGAGUCUCUGCGCCGACAAUGUAACGGGGCUAAGAUAUAAACCGAAGUUGUGGAGUAUACACGAUGUGUAGACUGGUAGGAGAGCGUUCCGUAGGCCGUUGAAGGAUAAGGGGUGACCCAAUCUGGAGGUAUCGGAAGUGAGAAUGCAGGAAUGAGUAGCGAGAAAGAGGGUGAGAAUCCCUCUCGCCGGAAAACCAAGGUUUCCAGAGUAAAGCUUGUCUUCUCUGGGUAAGCCGGGACCUAAGCCGAGGCUAGAUUGCGUAGGCGAAUGGAAAGCAGUUUAAUAUUACUGCGCCACUAUAAUUUGUUUGAGAGAUGGAGGGACGCAGAAGGGUAUGUACGCAGACUGUUGGAUAUGUCUGUAUAAGCAUGUAGGAUGGAACCGCAGGAAAAUCCACGGUUUUAGAUCUGAGGUGUGAUGUAUAUUGCUUGUAAUGAGCGAGAAUGUACAAAUCCCACGCUGCCGAGAAAAGCUUCUAUUGAGAAUUAUAGUGCCCGUACCGUAAACCGACACAGGUGGUUAGGAUGAGAAAUCUAAGGCGUACAGGCUAACUCUCGCUAAGGAACUCUGCAAAAUGGCCCCGUAACUUCGGGAGAAGGGGUGCCAUUAAAGGUGAUAAGUACAAGCGACUUUGAGCCCUUGAUGGCCGCAGUGAAGAGAUUCGAGCAACUGUUUAGCAAAAACACAGGUCUAUGCUAAGCUGAAAGGCGACGUAUAUGGGCUGACACCUGCCCAGUGCCGGAAGGUUAAGAGGAGGGUUUAGCGACUCAAAUUGAAGCCCCGGUGAACGGCGGCCGUAACUAUAACGGUCCUAAGGUAGCGAAAUUCCUUGUCGGGUAAG
rnacentral:rRNA from 1 species